rnacentral:rRNA from 1 species
AGAGUUUGAUUAUGGCUCAGAGUUAACGCUGGCGGCGUGCCUAACACAUGCAAGUCGGGCGGGGAGUGGCAGAGUACCGCGCUCCCAGCGGCAGACGGGUGAGUAACGCGUAGGCAACAUGCCCAUAAGAGGGAGACAACCAGCCGAAAGGUUGGCUAAUAUCCCGUAAUACCCUGGGGAGGCAUCUUUUCCGGGUUAAAGCAGCGAUGCGCUUAUGGAGUGGCCUGCGGCCUAUCAGCUGGUUGGUGAGGUAACGGCCCACCAAGGCAUAGACGGGUAGCCGAUCUAAAAGGAUGACCGGCCACAAGGGGACUGAGACACGGCCCCUACUCCUACGGGAGGCAGCAGUGGGGAAUUUUGGACAAUGGGGGAAACCCUGAUCCAGCGAACCGCCGCGUGAAGGAUGAAGGUUUUCGGAUUGUAAACUUCUUUUGCAGGGGGCAAAGGCCGGCAACGGCGUGAUGGUACCCUGUGAAUAAGCCACGGCUAACUACGUGCCAGCAGCGGC